rnacentral:rRNA from 1 species
GUUAGGAAUAUUGGACAAUGGGCGCAAGCCUGAUCCAGCCAUGCCGCGUGAGUGAUGAAGGCCUUCGGGUUGUAAAGCUCUUUAGCCGAUGAUUAUAAUGACUGUAGUCGGAAAAUAAGCCCCGGCUAACUUCGUGCCAGCAGCCGCGGUAAUACGAAGGGGCCGAGCGUUAUUCGGAAUCACUGGGCGUAAAGCGUGCGUAGGCGGCUUUGCAAGUUGGGAGUGAAAGCCCAGGGCUCAACCCUGGAAUUGCUCUCAAAACUGCAAGGCUCGAAUUCGGGAGAGGAUAGCGGAAUUGUCAGUGUAGCAGUGAAAUGCGUAGAUAUUGACAGGAACACCAGUGGCGUAAGCGGCUAUCUGGACCAAUAUUGACGCUGAGGCACGAAAGCGUGGGGAUCAAACAGGAUUAGAAACCCGAGUAGUCC